rnacentral:rRNA from 1 species
GGAGGAAGGUGGGGAGUGACGUCAAGUCCUCAUGGCCUUAUGCCCAGGGCUACACACGUGCUACAAUGGGUGGUACAAAGAGAUGCCAACUCGCGAGAGCGCGCCAAUCUCAGAAAGCCAUCCUCAGUUCGGAUUGGAGUCUGCAACUCGACUCCAUGAAGUUGGAAUCGCUAGUAAUCGCGGAUCAGCACGCCGCGGUGAAUACGUUCCCGGGCCUU